UACGAAGGGGGCUAGCGUUGCUCGGAAUCACUAGGCGUAAAGCGCACGUAGGCGGAUGUGUCAGUCAGGGGUGAAAUCCCGGGGCUCAACCUCGGAACUGCCUUUGAUACAGCACGUCUCGAGUCCGGAAGAGGUGGGUGGAAUUCCUAGUGUAGAGGUGAAAUUCGUAGAUAUUAGGAAGAACACCGGUGGCGAAGGCGGCCCACUGGUCCGGUACUGACGCUGAGGUGCGAAAGCGUGGGGAGCAAACAGG
rnacentral:rRNA from 1 species